UAACACUAACUGGAGGACCGAACCGACUAAUGUUGAAAAAUUAGCGGAUGACCUGUGGCUGGGGGUGAAAGGCCAAUCAAACCGGGAGAUAGCUGGUUCUCCCCGAAAGCUAUUUAGGUAGCGCCUCGUGAAUUCAUCUCCGGGGGUAGAGCACUGUUUCGGCUAGGGGGCCAUCCCGGCUUACCAACCCGAUGCAAACUGCGAAUACCGGAGAAUGUUAUCACGGGAGACACACGGCGGGUGCUAACGUCCGUCGUGAAGAGGGAAACAACCCAGACCGCCAGCUAAGGUCCCAAAGUCAUGGUUAAGUGGGAAACGAUGUGGGAAGGCCCAGACAGCCAGGAUGUUGGCUUAGAAGCAGCCAUCAUUUAAAGAAAGCGUAAUAGCUCACUGGUCGAGUCGGCCUGCGCGGAAGAUGUAACGGGGCUAAACCAUGCACCGAAGCUGCGGCAGCGACACUUUAGUGUUGUUGGGUAGGGGAGCGUUCUGUAAGCCGUUGAAGGUGUCCUGUGAGGGGUGCUGGAGGUAUCAGAAGUGCGAAUGCUGACAUAAGUAACGAUAAAGCGGGUGAAAAGCCCGCUCGCCGGAAGACCAAGGGUUCCUGUCCAACGUUAAUCGGGGCAGGGUGAGUCGACCCCUAAGGCGAGGCCGAAAGGCGUAGUCGAUGGGAAACGGGUUAAUAUUCCCGUACUUGGUGUUACUGCGAAGGGGGGACGGAGAAGGCUAUGUUGGCCGGGCGACGGUAGUCCCGGUUUAAGCGUGUAGGUGUGUGUUCCAGGUAAAUCCGGUUCACUUUAACACUGAGGCGUGAUGACGAGGCACCACGGUGCUGAAGCAACAAAUGCCCUGCUUCCAGGAAAAGCCUCUAAGCAUCAGGUAACAUCAAAUCGUACCCCAAACCGACACAGGUGGUCAGGUAGAGAAUACCAAGGCGCUUGAGAGAACUCGGGUGAAGGAACUAGGCAAAAUGGUGCCGUAACUUCGGGAGAAGGCACGCUGACACGUAGGUGAAGUGAUUUACUCAUGGAGCUGAAGUCAGUCGAAGAUACCAGCUGGCUGCAACUGUUUAUUAAAAACACAGCACUGUGCAAACACGAAAGUGGACGUAUACGGUGUGACGCCUGCCCGGUGCCGGAAGGUUAAUUGAUGGGGUCAGCGCAAGCGAAGCUCCUGAUCGAAGCCCCGGUAAACGGCGGCCGUAACUAUAACGGUCCUAAGGUAGCGAAAUUCCUUGUCGGGUAAGUUCCGACCUGCACGAAUGGCGUAAUGAUGGCCAGGCUGUCUCCACCCGAGACUCAGUGAAAUUGAACUCGCUGUGAAGAUGCAGUGUACCCGCGGCAAGACGGAAAGACCCCGUGAACCUUUACUAUAGCUUGACACUGAACAUUGAGCCUUGAUGUGUAGGAUAGGUGGGAGGCUUUGAAGCGUGGACGCCAGUCUGCGUGGAGCCGACCUUGAAAUACCACCCUUUAAUGUUUGAUGUUCUAACGUGGACCCGUAAUCCGGGUUGCGGACAGUGUCUGGUGGGUAGUUUGACUGGGGCGGUCUCCUCCUAAAGAGUAACGGAGGAGCACGAAGGUUGGCUAAUCCUGGUCGGACAUCAGGAGGUUAGUGCAAUGGCAUAAGCCAGCUUGACUGCGAGCGUGACGGCGCGAGCAGGUGCGAAAGCAGGUCAUAGUGAUCCGGUGGUUCUGAAUGGAAGGGCCAUCGCUCAACGGAUAAAAGGUACUCCGGGGAUAACAGGCUGAUACCGCCCAAGAGUUCAUAUCGACGGCGGUGUUUGGCACCUCGAUGUCGGCUCAUCACAUCCUGGGGCUGAAGUAGGUCCCAAGGGUAUGGCUGUUCGCCAUUUAAAGUGGUACGCGAGCUGGGUUUAGAACGUCGUGAGACAGUUCGGUCC
rnacentral:rRNA from 1 species